GACGAACGCUGGCGGCGUGCUUAACACAUGCAAGUCGAACGGACAGGCCCUGCUUUUGUGGGGUGCUCGAGUGGCGAACGCGUGAGUAACACGUGAGUAACCUGUCCUUGACUUUGUGAUAACUUUAGGAAACUGGGGCUAAUACCGGAUAGGAGCUCCUGCUGCAUGGUGGGGGUUGGAAAGUUUCGGCGGUUGGGGAUGGACUCGCGGCUUAUCAGCUUGUUGGUGUGGUAGUGGCUUACCAAGGCUUUGACGGGUAGGCCGCCUGAGAGGGUGACCAGCCACAUUGGGACUGAGGGACGGCGCAGACGCGUACGGGAGGCAGCAGUGGAGAGUAUUGCACAAUGGGCGGAAGCGUGAUGCAGCAACGCCGCGUGCGGAAUGCCGGCCUUCUGGGUAUAAACCGCUUUCGCCUUUGACAAGGCGUGAGUGACGGUAAUGGAUAAGAAAGCACCGGCUAACUACGUG
rnacentral:rRNA from 1 species